GUGAGGAAUAUUGGACAAUGGGCGCAAGCCUGAUCCAGCCAUGCCGCGUGCAGGAAGACGCAUCUAUGGUGUGUAAACUGCUUUUGUACGGGAAGAAACACUCCCUCGUGAGGGAGCUUGACGGUACCGUAAGAAUAAGGAUCGGCUAACUCCGUGCCAGCAGCCGCGGUAAUACGGAGGAUCCAAGCGUUAUCCGGAAUCAUUGGGUUUAAAGGGUCCGUAGGCGGUUUAAUAAGUCAGUGGUGAAAGCCCAUCGCUCAACGAUGGAACGGCCAUUGAUACUGUUAGACUCGAAUUACAAGGAAGUAACUAGAAUAUGUAGUGUAGCGGUGAAAUGCUUAGAUAUUACAUGGAAUACCAAUUGCGAAGGCAGGUUACUACUUGUGGAUUGACGCUGAUGGACGAAAGCGUGGGGAGCGAACAGGAUUAGAUACCCGGGUAGUCC
rnacentral:rRNA from 1 species